rnacentral:snRNA from 1 species
AAAUGUGGGGGUGAUUUGGCUCAUCUAUCAUCACAUUGAUUGUCAGAGUUCAUUCGGUUGAUAUGGCUGGCUAGAUACAGUAGAUGUUCCGUUCUUCGCUCACUGCUCUGUGUGUGUCCCUCCUGAAGCUGCAUGCUAAAUGGAAGAGAACAACCAUCCCAGAUAAAAUAUAUCUACUUUUCUUUGAUUGGGGUAUGCUCCUCUGCUGGGACCUCUAGAUGAAAUCAAAGUACUAAAAUGUCAUAAAUAAACACCCACUGGUCUAUUUAUUUAAUU